rnacentral:rRNA from 1 species
UGGGGAAUAUUGGACAAUGGGCGCAAGCCUGAUCCAGCCAUGCCGCGUGAGUGAUGAAGGCCCUAGGGUUGUAAAGCUCUUUCACCGGUGAAGAUAAUGACGGUAACCGGAGAAGAAGCCCCGGCUAACUUCGUGCCAGCAGCCGCGGUAAUACGGAGGGGGCUAGCGUUGUUCGGAUUUACUGGGCGUAAAGCGCACGUAGGCGGACUAUUAAGUCAGGGGUGAAAUCCCGGGGCUCAACCCCGGAACUGCCUUUGAUACUGGUAGUCUUGAGUUCGAGAGAGGUGAGUGGAAUUCCGAGUGUAGAGGUGAAAUUCGUAGAUAUUCGGAGGAACACCAGUGGCGAAGGCGGCUCACUGGCUCGAUACUGACGCUGAGGUGCGAAAGCGUGGGGAGCAAACAGG